GUCUUUUAAUUGAAGGCUGGUAUGAAUGGUUGGAUGAGAAAUAUACUUUCUUUAUUUUAUAUAAAAAAAUUAAUUUUUUAGUCAAAAAGCUAAGAUAUUAUUAUAGGACGAGAAGACCCUAUAGAACUUUAUUUUCUUUUUUAUAUAAAUUUUUUGGGUUUUUAUAAAAUUAUAUAAAAAUGUUAAUUUUAUUGGGGUGAUAGAAAAAAUUGUAUAACUUUUUCUAUUUUUUACAUUUAUUUAUGUUUUUGAUCCUUUUUUAGGGAAAAUAAGAUUAAGUUACCUUAGGGAUAACAGCGUUAUUUUCUUGGAGAGUUCUUAUCGAUAAGAAAGUUUGCGACCUCGAUGUUGGAUUAAAAUAAGUGACAGGAGUAGGAUAUUGUUCACUAGGUCUGUUCGACCUUUAAAUUUUUACA
rnacentral:rRNA from 2 species